rnacentral:rRNA from 1 species
UACGAAGGGUGCAAGCGUUACUCGGAAUUACUGGGCGUAAAGCGUGCGUAGGUGGUUUGUUAAGUCUGAUGUGAAAGCCCUGGGCUCAACCUGGGAAUUGCAUUGGAUACUGGCAGGCUAGAGUGCGGUAGAGGAUGGCGGAAUUCCCGGUGUAGCAGUGAAAUGCGUAGAGAUCGGGAGGAACAUCCGUGGCGAAGGCGGCCAUCUGGACCAGCACUGACACUGAGGCACGAAAGCGUGGGGAGCAAACAGGAUUAGAAACCCCCGUAGUCC